GGGGGAAGCCAAGCAAAACCAGCUCAUAAUAUUCAUGCUUGUGAGGGAAAUGAACAGACUCCUACAUUGUGUGGUAUAAAUAAGAAUGGGCAAGAGCGGGAAGAACAGCUGCACACAGUGCUGGAGUCAUGUGACCAACACGUGGGAGAAGCUUUACAAGUAACAUCAGAAAUCCUUGGAAAGAUGCCUUUACCUUUCAUAAAAUAAUAGAAGAAUCAGCCUGGCUGUGCAGGGCAGUGCCCUGAGGACACACUGAUCAAGCCCCUACUGGAUCAUGUUGGCGGUGAGGAUUCAGUCGUGGGAUCUGCCAUUCUUGGACAUCAAACGAAGUGCUGAAACAGGAACUGCCUAACUCAGAGCCUAAUUCAUGAAGAGUUAUCUAGACAUAAUCCUAGAUAUUAAUGUUAGUGCAGGGGGAAAGGGACAUUUAGAGAGACCACACAGGACCAUUCUGGGAGCCAUCUGGCAUAGAUGAGCUAAAUAGUACAUAUAAAUCAAUUAUCUGAAUGCAUUUAAGAAAAAGCCUAGGA